rnacentral:rRNA from 1 species
GAUGAACGCUGACAGAAUGCUUAACACAUGCAAGUCAACUUGAAUUUGGGUUUAUAACUUAGGUUUGGGUGGCGGACGGGUGAGUAACGCGUAAAGAACUUGCCUCACAGCUAGGGACAACAUUUAGAAAUGAAUGCUAAUACCUAAUAUUAUGGUUAUAGGGCAUCCUAUAAUUAUGAAAGCUAAAUGCACUGUGAGAGAGCUUUGCGUCCCAUUAGCUAGUUGGAGAGGUAACAGCUCACCAAGGCGAUGAUGGGUAGCCGGCCUGAGAGGGUGAACGGCCACAAGGGGACUGAGACACGGCCCUUACUCCUACGGGAGGCAGCAGUGGGGAAUAUUGGACAAUGGACCGAGAGUCUGAUCCAGCAAUUCUGUGUGCACGAUGAAGUUUUUCGGAAUGUAAAGUGCUUUCAGUUGGGAAGAAAAAAAUGACGGUACCAACAGAAGAAGUGACGGCUAA